GGAAAAGAAACCAACCGGGAUUGCCUCAGUAACGGCGAGUGAAGCGGCAAGAGCUCAAAUUUGAAAGCUGGCUCCUUCGGAGUCCGCAUUGUAAUUUGCAGAGGAUGCUUUGGGUGCGGCCCCCGUCUAAGUGCCCUGGAACGGGCCGUCAGAGAGGGUGAGAAUCCCGUCUUGGGCGGGGUGUCCGUGCCCGUGUAAAGCUCCUUCGACGAGUCGAGUUGUUUGGGAAUGCAGCUCUAAAUGGGUGGUAAAUUUCAUCUAAAGCUAAAUACUGGCCGGAGACCGAUAGCGCACAAGUAGAGUGAUCGAAAGAUGAAAAGCACUUUGAAAAGAGAGUUAAACAGCACGUGAAAUUGUUGAAAGGGAAGCGCUUGCGACCAGACUCGCCCGCGGGGUUCAGCCGGCAUUCGUGCCGGUGUACUUCCCCGUGGGCGGGCCAGCGUCGGUUUGGGCGGCCGGUCAAAGGCCCCUGGAAUGUAGUGCCCUCCGGGGCACCUUAUAGCCAGGGGUGCAAUGCGGCCAGCCUGGACCGAGGAACGCGCUUCGGCACGGACGCUGGCAUAAUGGUCGUAAACGACCCGUCUUGAAACACGGACCAAGGAGUCUAACAUCUACGCGAGUGUUCGGGUGUCAAACCCGUGCGCGCAGUGAAAGCGAACGGAGGUGGGAGCCCCCUUGCGGGGCGCACCAUCGACCGAUCCUGAUGUCUUCGGAUGGAUUUGAGUAAGAGCGUAGCUGUGGGGACCCGAAAGAUGGUGAACUAUGCCUGAAUAGGGCGAAGCCAGAGGAAACUCUGGUGGAGGCUCGCAGCGGUUCUGACGUGCAAAUCGAUCGUCAAAUUUGGGUAUAGGGGCGAAAGACUAAUCGAACCAUCUAGUAGCUGGUUCCUGCCGAAGUUUCCCUCAGGAUAGCAGUAACGCAAAAUCAGUUUUAUGAGGUAAAGCGAAUGAUUAGAGGCAUUGGGGUUGAAACAACCUUAACCUAUUCUCAAACUUUAAAUAUGUAAGAAGCCCUUGUUGCUUAGUUGAACGUGGGCAUUAGAAUGGAGCGUUACUAGUGGGCCAUUUUUGGUAAGCAGAACUGGCGAUGCGGGAUGAACCGAACGCGAGGUUAAGGUGCCGGAAUGCACGCUCAUCAGACACCACAAAAGGUGUUAGUUCAUCUAGACAGCCCGACGGUGGCCAUGGAAGUCGGAAUCCGCUAAGGAGUGUGUAACAACUCACGGGCCGAAUGAACUAGCCCUGAAAAUGGAUGGCGCUCAAGCGUGCUACCCAUACCUCGCCGUCGGGGUAGAAACGAUGCCCCGACGAGUAGGCAGGCGUGGGGGUCCGUGACGAAGCCUUGGGAGUGAUCCCGGGUCGAA
rnacentral:rRNA from 1 species